rnacentral:rRNA from 1 species
UACAGAGGGGGCAAGCGUUGUUCGGAAUUACUGGGCGUAAAGGGCGCGUAGGCGGCCUGCUAAGUCGAACGUGAAAUCCCCGGGCUCAACCCGGGAACUGCGUCCGAGACUGGCGGGCUCGAAUUCGGGAGAGGGAUGCGGAAUUCCAGGUGUAGCGGUGAAAUGCGUAGAUAUCAGGAGGAACACCGGUGGCGAAGGCGGCUCUCUGGAUCGGCCCUGACGCUGAGGCGCGAAAGCGUGGGGAGCGAACGGG